AGGCAAAACACCAAAAGGAGAUGUCAACUGCUAUAUCUCUACAUGUUUUAGAUGGCAUUACAUUGGUCUCUGAAGAAUCGCAAAAGCAUUCUUCAACGCAAGACAGCGCCGUGCAGCCUGAAGAUUUGAUGCAGAAGUGUAUUGAUUCACAAAUUUUACUUUGUUGUCAGGAGGGCUUGCAUUUAUUCUCCUUAAGUUCUAUAAUGCAGGGCGAUAUCAAACCUAUACGUGAAGUGAAACUUGCUAAACCAUGUU
rnacentral:misc_RNA from 1 species